CUCCACUCUCCGUCAUAUAAUGAAUUGAAAAAGAUUUACAGAUAAGUUUCUCUUCUCCUUCACUUUGUGCAUCUAUCUAUGAGUACGAUUGAGUGCCUCCAUUACAAUUGAAUCAUUAUGGAGCUUCAACUGAUUUGUUUAAGGUUGAGAUUUUCUUUAGAAAUUUAUGUGGGUAUUGACGAGGGCAGCUUCAUCUGACAUCUAGCAAUGCAUAACGGCAAAAGCAGUAGUCGAUGCAUAUGUCGGGCUGGUGCAUCCUUCCAAAUCAUCCAGCUUUUGGCCAACUUUCUGAAGGCAAGGACAUCGUCUGUAGCAAUUUUCAAGUGAGUUCCCAUCCAGUUUGUUUAAAUUAUUAUACAUACAUAUUGUGUACUGUUUUACGUUUAAAUUAUAUUGUUUGUUGUUUCCAUAUGAAAAUUGACUGACUUGCAGAACCGUGCACAAUGGAUUUUUUUUUUGCAUAAAGUCAGGAUCCUCAUUUACAAUAUUAAGUUGUAACAUCAGACAUAUUAUCCAUUUCCUCUUAUGUAUCUACUUUCGUGUGAUAGACAAAUCGGUUUGACAUUCCAGAUAUUCACUUCCUUUUAUUACUUUACACAACUUCAGUUUUGUAUGCAUUUUAUUUCAUCAUGUUUUUUCAGGUUACUUUACAUGUCGAUUGUGCAAGGCUCGAAACCGACCAACUUGGUACAACUGCAGUUAAUGUCUCCUGAUGGUGUUUGUACCCAAUCCAUUUUUUCACUUGAUUUCGCACAUCCAGUUGUAAUACAUAUUAGUUUCUUCAUAGCAUUUUGUAUUAGUUUUGGUUAAAUGAUUAUAUCCUCAGAUCAGUAUACUUUCCAAGAGGAAUCCAUGUGUAAUCUUUUCGAUGGCUUGAAAAGGAAAAUGGAGGAUCUGCCGUC